rnacentral:rRNA from 1 species
CUUCCUGAUUCUACUUGGCGCGCUCGCGCCUCCCCUUUGGCGUCUUUUUUUGUGCUUCCGGGGGGCGGACGAAACCUUAACAUGAUAAAUAAGUCGUCCCCAUUUUAUGGGGCACGACUUCUUAGAGGGACUAUGCAUAUCAAGUGCAUGGAAGUUUGAGGCUGUGGCUGGUGUGGUGGUGACCUUAUAUGUCCUGGGCUGCACGCGUGCUACUCUUAUGCAUACAACAAGUGCCUAGCUAACAUAGUAUGGCAAUCUGGAAUAUGCAUCGUGAUGGGGAUAGAUCUUUGCAAUUAUACCUCUUGAACCGGAAUUCAAUAGUAAGUGCAAGUCAUCAUCUGCAUUUAUUAUGUCCCUGCCCUUUGUACACACCGCCCGUUCCUCCUACCGAUCCCGGGUGAUCCGGUGAACCUUUGGACCUCAUAGGAAAAAAAGAACGCACACCCCUUCCGAAGUCGUAACAAGAAGGAAGGAACCGCAGC